AGCGAACGCUGGCGGCAGGCCUAACACAUGCAAGUCGAACGAACCCUUCGGGGUUAGUGGCGGACGGGUGAGUAACACGUGGGAACGUGCCCUUUGGUUCGGAACAACUCAGGGAAACUUGAGCUAAUACCGAAUGUGCCCUUCGGGGGAAAGAUUUAUCGCCAUUGGAGCGGCCCGCGUCUGAUUAGCUUGUUGGUGAGGUAAAGGCUCACCAAGGCUACGAUCAGUAGCUGGUCUGAGAGGAUGAUCAGCCACAUUGGGACUGAGACACGGCCCAAACUCCUACGGGAGGCAGCAGUGGGGAAUCUUGCGCAAUGGGCGAAAGCCUGACGCAGCCAUGCCGCGUGAAUGAUGAAGGUCUUAGGAUUGUAAAAUUCUUUCACCGGGGACGAUAAUGACGGUACCCGGAGAAGAAGCCCCGGCUAACUUCGUGCCAGCCGCCGCAGUAAUAC
rnacentral:rRNA from 1 species